AUUGAACGCUGGCGGCAUGCCUUACACAUGCAAGUCGAACGCGAAAGCGGGGCAACCCGCAAGUAGAGUGGCGAACGGGUGAGUAAUACAUCGGAACAUUUCCAGUAGCGGGGGAUAACCUGUCGAAAGAUAGGCUAAUACCGCAUACGAUCUACGGAUGAAAGCGGGGGACCGCAAGGCCUCGCACUAUUGGAGUGGCCGAUGUCGGAUUAGCUAGUUGGUGGGGUAAAAGCCUACCAAGGCGACGAUCCGUAGCUGGUCUGAGAGGACGAUCAGCCACACUGGAACUGAGACACGGUCCAGACUCCUACGGGAGGCAGCAGUGGGGAAUUUUGGACAAUGGGCGCAAGCCUGAUCCAGCCAUGCCGCGUGAGUGAAGAAGGCCUUCGGGUUGUAAAGCUCUUUCGGUGGAGAGGAAACGGUCCGUGU
rnacentral:rRNA from 1 species